rnacentral:rRNA from 1 species
ACGAACGCUGGCGGCGCGCCUAACACCUGCAAGUCGCACGAGCGAGAGAGAGCUUGCUUUCUCGAGCGAGUGGCGAACGGGUGAGUAACGCGUGAGGAACCUGCCUCAAAGAGGGGGACAACAGUUGGAAACGACUGCUAAUACCGCAUAAGCCCACGGCUCGGCAUCGAGCAGGGGGAAAAGGAGCAAUCCGCUUUGAGAUGGCCUCGCGUCCGAUUAGCUAGUUGGUGAGGUAACGGCCCACCAAGGCGACGAUCGGUAGCCGGACUGAGAGGUUGAACGGCCACAUUGGGACUGAGACACGGCCCAGACUCCUACGGGAGGCAGCAGUGGGGAAUAUUGCACAAUGGGGGAAACCCUGAUGCAGCGACGCCGCGUGGAGGAAGAAGGUCUUCGGAUUGUAAACUCCUGUUGUUGGGGAAGAUAAUGACGGUACCCAACAAGGAAGUGACGGCUAACUACGUG